rnacentral:rRNA from 1 species
GUGACCUCAAAUCAGGUAGGACUACCCGCUGAACUUAAGCAUAUCAAUAAGCGGAGGAAAAGAAACUAACAAGGAUUCCCCUAGUAACUGCGAGUGAAGCGGGAAAAGCUCAAAUUUAAAAUCUGGCAGUCUUUGGCUGUCCGAGUUGUAAUCUAGAGAAGUGCUAUCCGCGCUGGACCGUGUACAAGUCUCCUGGAAUGGAGCGUCAUAGAGGGUGAGAAUCCCGUCUUUGACACGGACUUGCCAGGGCUUUGUGAUGUGCUCUCGAAGAGUCGGGUUGUUUGGGAAUGCAGCUCAAAAUGGGUGGUAAAUUCCAUCUAAAGCUAAAUAUUGGCGAGAGACCGAUAGCGAACAAGUACCGUGAGGGAAAGAUGAAAAGAACUUUGGAAAGAGAGUUAAACAGUACGUGAAAUUGCUGAAAGGGAAACGCUUGAAGUCAGUCGCGUUGUCCAGGGAUCAACCUUGCUUUUGCUUGGUGCACUUUCUGGUUGACGGGUCAGCAUCAAUUUUGACUAUUGGAAAAAGGUUAGGGGAAUGUGACAUCUUUGGAUGUGUUAUAGCCCUUGGUUGCAUACAAUGGUUGGGAUUGAGGAACUCAGCACGCCGCAAGGCCGGGUUUUCAAACCACGUACGUGCUUAGGAUGCUGGCAUAAUGGCUUUAAUCGACCCGU